AGGUUUUGCAUGCGAGGUGGGACUUGUAAAGAUAGAAAUACUACUCAUCAUCUAAUUAGGUGAUUUCUGUCGGAAUUCUUGUUGUAGGGAAGCUCUCACAAAAUGAGUUGCUUGAAUGGGUUUAUUUUGGUUUGAUGAUUGAAGAAUGAUUUGAUAGCUGGGGGGAUCUUGUUAUUGCACAUGGGGGAUCUAUCGUGCAUUCUUUUAGCAAUGGCUAGUUCUACAUCAUCGAUUGAUCCAGAUCAAUGACAUCAAUAUCAAGUAUGAUUUACUGACAGUCUAUUCAUUUAUAUCGCGCUGAAAUUUUGUUUUAUAUUUCUUGGAGGUUAUAUACCAAUCAGGUAACAAAGAAAAUGUUACAAAAUGAAGGGAAAAAAAGUACCUGAUUUUAGACAAUAAAGCCUGGGAGGUCAAUGUAACUGUACAUAACAAUAAAACCAUACAAUACAAAGCUCGAAACACACAGCAAAUGGCAAAGCCACAAUUCAGAGGCAAGCAUCAGCUAAUAAUAUUUGAUCAAAACAUCGUGGAGCCAAAGGUUUCUGAUGUUUUGUCUCU